CCUACGGGAGGCUGCAGUGAGGAAUAUUGGUCAAUGGACGCAAGUCUGAACCAGCCAUGCCGCGUGCAGGAAGACGGCUCUAUGAGUUGUAAACUGCUUUUGUACGAGGGUAAACUCAGAUACGCGUAUCUGUCUGAAAGUAUCGUACGAAUAAGGAUCGGCUAACUCCGUGCCAGCAGCCGCGGUAAUACGGAGGAUUCAAGCGUUAUCCGGAUUUAUUGGGUUUAAAGGGUGCGUAGGCGGUCGGAUAAGUUAGAGGUGAAAUCCCGAGGCUCAACUUCGGAAUUGCCUCUGAUACUGUUAGGCUAGAGAGUAGUUGAGGUAGGCGGAAUGUAUGGUGUAGCGGUGAAAUGCUUAGAGAUCAUACAGAACACCGAUUGCGAAGGCAGCUUACCAAGCUACUUCUGACGUUGAGGCACGAAAGCGUGGGGAGCAAACAGGAUUAGAUACCCCAGUAGUC
rnacentral:rRNA from 1 species